rnacentral:rRNA from 1 species
GAUGAACGCUGGCGGCGUGCCUAAUACAUGCAAGUCGAGCGAACAGAUAAGGAGCUUGCUCCUUUGACGUUAGCGGCGGACGGGUGAGUAACACGUGGGUAACCUACCUAUAAGACUGGGAUAACUUCGGGAAACCGGAGCUAAUACCGGAUAACAUUUGGAACCGCAUGGUUCUAAAGUGAAAGAUGGUUUUGCUAUCACUUAUAGAUGGACCCGCGCCGUAUUAGCUAGUUGGUAAGGUAACGGCUUACCAAGGCGACGAUACGUAGCCGACCUGAUAGGGUGAUCGGCCACACUGGAACUGAGACACGGUCCAGACUCCUACGGGAGGCAGCAGUAGGGAAUCUUCCGCAAUGGGCGAAAGCCUUACGGAGCAACGCCGCGUGAGUGAUGAAGGGUUUCGGCUCGUAAAACUCUGUUAUUAGGGAAGAACAAAUGUGUAAGUAACUGUGCACGUCUUGACGGUACCUAAUCAGAAAGCCACGGCUAACUACGUG